CAUAGGCACACACGAGCACGAGGGCUCGCCUUCGAUGCGUACGGGUACGCCGCUGCCGCACGCCGCCUCUCCGGCCAUCCGCCGCCGCUGCCGCGCGCGGCCUCUCUGCCAUCCGUCGCCCCGUUCUCCUUCCCCUCCCCAUCCGUCCCAAUCUUAUCCGGCGCCACCUGAAGCCCCCUCAACCUGCAACCUCCUGCCAUCGAGCCCUUCUAAUCUCGCUGGACCAUGGACUUAACCGGAACGCCGUCCUGCUAGCCGUGCCCACUUGAGCGAGGAGAGAGUGGUGAGGCGGCUUAGUGAGGCUCAGGACGGCGUCUCGCAUGGCGUCUCGCAUGUAAGUACGCCACUCCUGCGUCUCUAUGCUAAUCCGAGUGCAGUACUCUGCACAAUGCUCUACUUCUUCCUAAAAAAUAUCUGUUGAAUGCCCCAUGACUGGUUUGCACUUCUGGUGUUCGACAGUAUGCCUAAGCAGUGACCGCAUCCACGAUGUUAUUCAGUUCUUUGUCUCAUGUAAGAGUAUUAUGAUAUAUGAGAUGCUUGAAUGAAGGGAUCCUUGAUUAAUUUGUCCACAAGUAGCCCAAGGAUUUGGGAGUUUAGGGUUUGUUAUGAGUAGUUAGCUGCCUGUGAUGUGUGCCCAAACAAAUUGUCAUGUAAAUCAUUAUGAACACUUGAUUUUCUUGUGGCGCCAUCCAAGUGGGCGGAGGCAGCGGCUGCCACCACGGUGUCAUCCUUCUCCCACACCUUCGUCGCGGGACCGGAUUCACAAUGACGCCAUCGCAUCUAGCGACGACGCAAGCUCAUGUGGGUGCCGCAACUUCCGAGGACAUGGGAGUCUCCAUGGGCAGUGAGUACGUGAGCACACUCACACACCACAGCUCUCAAGGAUGCGGGAGCCACCUCAGCCCGCGAGGACUCGUGAACCAUGCUCAGGUGAAGAUAUUAUUGUUAUGCUGAUCAUGGAGGAUGGAUAUUUCUUUGAGCUUCUAUUGUCGAUAGGGACGCUGUAGUGAGAUUUCUAUCGAACUGAAGAUAUUGAAAGUUGAAGGUUGGCACUCGUGGGGCUUGCUUGUAUGAGCACUGUUAGGAUGGGGGCUUAUAUCCUUGUUAGGCAGUGAAGCUGCUCUUGUGGGUCACAUAACACAUGUUAAGCCUAUCUCCCGGUGCAACGCAUGGGCAAUUUUUCUAGUUAUAUACAAAUGUAUCUAUCUGAGCAUAAACUAAACUUGAAAUAAACACAUAUAAAGAUUCAUAAGAUGAACAAAUGUAUGUUAGUGACAUUGCCAUAGUUUAGAUAAACUGAACUGAGCAUUUGCCAUAGUUCAGAUAAACUGAACGCCGAAACAGAACACACCUAUGGCCAUGC